GACUGAAAUAAUGGCAAUCAUCUUUCAGGAUUGACCUCAAAUGAGGAGAAUACUCAUUGCUGAUUACUU